rnacentral:rRNA from 1 species
AUGGAUCCUUCCUUGAAGGAUUAUCUGGACAAACUCCACGCGGAGACUAAGGCGCAGACGAACGACAUCAUCAGGCUGCUCCACGAACAGGAGGCCUUCUUCUGCAAGUUCCAGUCCACUUCCAAGUCAGCGCGCUCCACGGCCGCGCCCUCUAAUGGCGACCUCUCCAUCGACACCACCAUCCAUGAGGCCUUCCCCGACACCUUCUCCGCCACCACCCAUGCCCAGGAGCCCCCCGCGGUCGCCCGUGAUGCAGCCCCGAUCUGCAUCGCGACGGCGCCCGUCACCUGUUCGACGGAGUGCUCGACCCAAGUUGAUGCCAUCGUCAGGGUCGACGAGGCCCAUGAAGCCGCCACCACCGUCCGCCUCGAGCCCGUGGUCAACCUCAUCCACCAAGAGGUCGAGCAGCUCGCACCUGUGCAGGCAACAACCUCCAUCCGCACCGCCACUCCCUCUACUGUCGAGGUCGUUCCUCCCAUGGCGGCCAUCACCGGUGUCGACCCCAAGGUCAGCUUGCAGGAGCAGGAUGACUCACCACUGCCCUCCAUCAACACCUCGACCCCAGCAGCGAGUGAGAUGGACCACAUCAUGGUCUUUAUCGUCUCCAGCAGCCUUACUGCACUGGCGUCGACCAAGUGCUCGACUGAAUACCCCGUCCACGUUGGCAACUUGGUGAAGCCCCUGUUCGCGCUGAGUAUGCUCUAUGCAACCUAUGCACCAUCCAACUUAACUCACCUUGAUCAUCCAGAACCCCUGCGGCACCUGUCACUGAUUGCACAAGCAGAAUAUGGCACUCACCUUAUGGACAAGAGCAAAAAUUGGGGCCUGCCACCAGUGUGGCAGGGGAUCGAGCAACCAUGGCCGCCACCUUUGCGAGUGUGUAUCGGAUAUAUGGGACACCUAUUCAGGCCAAGGCCGUGGCCGUCGCUCAGAUAUCAUUCAGAUGCAUGCUAUCCUGAGGAGCAAUCUUCAGGUAUAAGUAGUCAUGCACAUGAAGUCUCCUGGUUCCUUCCUUGGCUAGUUCUGUUGCUAUUCAGAAAUGUGGUUUUCCUUCAAGUUUCUUGUUGUGAGAUGAUUCCGAUGGAAGAGGCUGUCAGUUUCCAAUCUGUUGAGAUUUUGCAACAUAUACCGGAUGACCCAAGGUUGCUCCUGUGGUCACCAACUAGUGCAGAGAGUUUAGGCAAGAUAGUGGUGCAGGAAAUACCUUGCAAUGGAAUAUUGCAUACUUUUCCCGGCAACGGCAGAGCGGUACAGGGUUAUGAUGGAACCAAGCUCCGACCAAGACCAUGGCCACUAUUCGAGAUCAAUCAGGAGACCAUCCAGUUGAAGCUACAACAAAAAUUAUUCCCAGGUAAUUGCCAAGCAGCACAUGUGGUGUUCGAGCAAUACCUAUGUGGUCGGCUUUAUCUAAAGGUAAUGAGCAUGUCAGUGUGUGAGCAAUUUUUGAAUCACAUCGAAAUUCGAGGGAGUGGCCAUUUCUCUACAAAAUGCAGUUCUCUUUGGGAUCUUCUAUCGAUUUUGAUCGUUCGGCCUAUUUGUUAUUGUGAACAACCCUUCAGUUAUUUGCAAGGCGCACAUCCACAGUUUUGGCGUCCAUUGGAAGGUGCUGCUAUUUCUGUGAUCGAGUAA